rnacentral:lncRNA from 1 species
GCAACAGGAUGGCGCAAGCACGGGGCAGAGGCAGUGGAGUCCUGAAGAUGAGAAGGUGUGAGCCUUAGGAAGAUCUGGGGAGACACGUCCCGCAUAGAGGGAGCAGUUGGUCUGAAGGUCCUAAGCAUGCCAUCUGUUUCCUGCCAUGAUCCUGACUGGUACAGCCACCCAACACCUCCUGCUCCCAUGACAGGAAGAUUAGCCCUGAGCUAACAUCUGCUGCCAAUUCUCCUCUUUUUGCUGAGGAAGCCUGCCCUGAGCUGACAUCUGUGCCCAUCUUCCUCUACUUUAUAUGUGGGACACCUGCCACAGCAUGGCUUGAUAAAUGGUGUGUAGGUCCACACCUGGAGUCUGAACCAGUGAACCAUGGGUGGCCGAAGCUGAGUGUUCAAAACUUAACUGCUGUGCCACUGGGCUGGCCCCCA